rnacentral:rRNA from 1 species
CACGUAGGGCGCAAGCGUUGGCCGGAAUUAUUGGGCGUAAAGCGCGCGCAGGCGGUUUCUUAAGUCUGAUGUGAAAGCCCACGGCUCAACCGUGGAGGGUCAUUGGAAACUGGGGAACUUGAGUGCAGAAGAGAAAAGCGGAAUUCCACGUGUAGCGGUGAAAUGCGUAGAGAUGUGGAGGAACACCAGUGGCGAAGGCGGCUUUUUGGUCUGUAACUGACGCUGAGGCGCGAAAGCGUGGGGAGCAAACAGG